rnacentral:tRNA from 1 species
GGAAGCGCAUCGGUGCUGGUGUGCCGCCUGGACUUCAAAUCCAGUGGGACGUGGCGAGAGCCGGGUCCGGUGGGUUCGAUUCCCACACGCUUCCGCCA